AGAGUUUGAUCCUGGCUCAGAUUGAACGCUGGCGGCAGGCCUAACACAUGCAAGUCGAGCGGUAACAGGGGAAGCUUGCUUCUCGCUGACGAGCGGCGGACGGGUGAGUAAUGUAUGGGGAUCUGCCCGAUAGAGGGGGAUAACUACUGGAAACGGUAGCUAAUACCGCAUAAUCUCUCAGGAGCAAAGCAGGGGAACUUCGGUCCUUGCGCUAUCGGAUGAACCCAUAUGGGAUUAGCUAGUAGGUGAGGUAAUGGCUCACCUAGGCGACGAUCCCUAGCUGGUCUGAGAGGAUGAUCAGCCACACUGGGACUGAGACACGGCCCAGACUCCUACGGGAGGCAGCAGUGGGGAAUAUUGCACAAUGGGCGCAAGCCUGAUGCAGCCAUGCCGCGUGUAUGAAGAAGGCCCUAGGGUUGUAAAGUACUUUCAGUCGGGAGGAAGGCGUUGAUGCUAAUAUCAUCAACGAUUGACGUUACCGACAGAAGAAGCACCGGCUAACUCCGUGCCAGCAGCCGCGGU
rnacentral:rRNA from 1 species